GAAAGCCGUGUGAGGGAAAACCUCAUGCACGGAAUUGAAGAGGGGUUGCUGGAUAAGGGUUGUGCCGAAGCCAGUGACCUACUCUAC
rnacentral:ncRNA from 1 species